rnacentral:rRNA from 1 species
CGGUAGAGAGAAGCUUGCUUCUCUUGAGAGCGGCGGACGGGUGAGUAAUGCCUAGGAAUCUGCCUGGUAGUGGGGGAUAACGUUCGGAAACGGACGCUAAUACCGCAUACGUCCUACGGGAGAAAGCAGGGGACCUUCGGGCCUUGCGCUAUCAGAUGAGCCUAGGUCGGAUUAGCUAGUUGGUGAGGUAAUGGCUCACCAAGGCGACGAUCCGUAACUGGUCUGAGAGGAUGAUCAGUCACACUGGAACUGAGACACGGUCCAGACUCCUACGAGAGGCAGCAGUGGGGAAUAUUGGACAAUGGGCGAAAGCCUGAUCCAGCCAUGCCGCGUGUGUGAAGAAGGUCUUCGGAUUGUAAAGCACUUUAAGUUGGGAGGAAGGGUUGUAGAUUAAUACUCUGCAAUUUUGACGUUACCGACAGAAUAAGCACCGGCUAACUCUGUGCCAGCAGCCGCGGUAAUACAGAGGGUGCAAGCGUUAAUCGGAAUUACUGGGCGUAAAGCGCGCGUAGGUGGUUUGUUAAGUUGGAUGUGAAAUCCCCGGGCUCAACCUGGGAACUGCAUUCAAAACUGACUGACUAGAGUAUGGUAGAGGGUGGUGGAAUUUCCUGUGUAGCGGUGAAAUGCGUAGAUAUAGGAAGGAACACCAGUGGCGAAGGCGACCACCUGGACUAAUACUGACACUGAGGUGCGAAAGCGUGGGGAGCAAAC